CUUCCAGCCCCCGCCCCCCAGCCCUAGCCGCAACCCCAACCCCAUGGAGGUCGAGAUCAAGCUCCGGCUCCCGACGCGGCUGCACACCGGCGCCUCUCCUCCUUCCUCGCGCCCCGCCUGCUCCGCACCGACGCCCCCGCGUGGCCCACGCCACUGUCGUCCUGCGAUCCAAGUUCCAACUGACGCAGCCGGAUCUCGUGCGAUCUCACAGCCGCCACCGCCGCUGCCGAACUCACGGUCGGAUUUCGUGCGAUCUCACAGCCGCCGCCGCCGAACUCACAGCUGGAUCUCGUGCGAUCUCGCUGCCUCCAACGUACGGAAGUCUCUACUGUAUGGGAUCGCCGCCACGGUAUGCCGCCGCGGACGUAAGAGGCUGAAGCGCGGCGGGUGGGACAGGGUGUGCGUCGUGUUGCUGGAGAACUUCCUCGAACGAACGCUGUGGUGGUGCCAUUGUCCAUUGAUCUGGACGUCGGUAGAAAAAUUGAGGGAAAUCAAAGUCAGAAGAAUUGAAAAUACUAUGCACUGUGUCUACAAAAAGUCCAAGCUGCGUAUUCCUACAUAAGGAUAAGGAUCCACGAGUGGGUAUUACUUUCACAAUAAUCUGGAGGACCUUCAGACUUGGCUCUUUGCUGGGGCGAAGGGUGUGAAGUGGUUUGCCACAGAUUCAGAGGCCAUUUGGUUCAUCCAUAAUCUUCAAUGCAUCCCUAUCCCGAUGCUUCUAAUUUUCACUGCCCUCAGGUUUUGGAGCAUUGUGUAACUUUAUUUGGUUCAUUGCAGGUGCAGGGAACCUAUUGGAUUUACAUCUUCUACUCUCUUGACAAGGCAGUGUUCGAGGGUGUGCCUAGGUGAAACACAUGCUCUCCAUCACCCUUUCCUUCUAGAGCCGGUAUCAGGUGUGUGCAAUUUGAUGAAAUACAGAUGUCUGGUGUUUCAAUCAGUAUGUCGCAUAGUUUUUUCAUAUGUGCUUUGCUGCGAAAAAUCAACACAUCAUUUAAUUUAUUUCUCAGUUUACAUCAGCAAAUGACCCUCUACUUGGCGUCAAAUAAUGAAUGCACGUGAUCUAGGACUAUUUGCUUUGGUGCUUAAUGGAUCGCAUCAUGCAUCCUAUUUAAACUGCAAUGCUUUACAUCUAAUGUUAUUUUUUGAGUCAUGGAACAGUGGCGGUCUUGAAGCGGUGGUGCCUUUAUAUACCAAGACUGGAUACAAAAUAAGGUUGAUUUUUGUUUGCUCUGACGAUAGGGAGGCAAGACCAGGAUCACAUUCUUGGCCCCGUUUGAAGGAACGACGAUUUUCAGGAUUGACGUGGAUUGAUUUUCUUGAACAUGAAGUUAACUACAUGUGAAGCUGAAGCUAAGCCAAUGUGCUUUUCCAGAAGAAGGCCAAGGCACAUCAAUCCAACACCAACCCACCUGCUAUGGAACUAAGGGAGGAAGGAAAAAGAACAUUGCCCCUGAAGGCUCGAGACGCACAAACAGGAAGCUGAGUUCGGCAAAGACACCUUGUGCUUUCUUAAGUGGUCCGUAAUAACAAUGAGAUCAGAGAUUACUGCUCUAUUCAUUACUCUUCUAAAUCUUGUGAGUGCAAGGCAUGCAAAGUGUUAACUGAAACCCCAUGGCCUACUCGCCAUCGUCAACUUCCUCUUUGCGCUCGCCGUCAACGCUCCCAUGGGCAGAACCACAAGGGGAUGGAUGUACAUCUGUACACCCGUUAAUCUAGGGAUGAGGGGACGAGGACAAGAAGGCCACGGGUAUCAUGGUGGAGAAGGAGGACAACAAUGACAUUGAGGAAGGGCAGGCAUGCCGCUCCAUGGAAACUACGAUGACCAGUUCCUUACUCACAAUACUGGAGAUCUUCAUACAACCCCAUAUGCAACAACACAAUUUCCAUUACUUAGCAUGCAUCAUAAUGAAUCAAAUUAGUAUCUCUUUUCUUAUUUUUGGCUAGGAUGGAUUUCCGUUUCUUGUGUAUAUACAGAUUUACUACUACUGCUACAUUGUUACUCCAUUAUACUAAGAGAAUGGGACCUGGUCUGAUCCUUCCUAUAUGUAGUUGUAUUUGUCAUGACAGAUAGAGAUACCCUAUGGCAUUGCAUUGUCCUCUCUCCCUUCCUAAAUAUAAGUCUUUUUAGAGAUUUUCAACAUGGACUACAUACGGAGCAAA